UACGUAGGGUGCGAGCGUUAAUCGGAAUUACUGGGCGUAAAGCGUGCGCAGGCGGCUUCGCAAGUCAGACGUGAAAUCCCCGGGCUUAACCUGGGAAUGGCGUUUGAAACUACGGAGCUGGAGUGUGGCAGAGGGAGGUAGAAUUCCACGUGUAGCGGUGAAAUGCGUAGAUAUGUGGAGGAAUACCGAUGGCGAAGGCAGCCUCCUGGGCGAACACUGACGCUCAUGCACGAAAGCGUGGGGAGCAAACAGG
rnacentral:rRNA from 1 species